ACGUUAUCAUUAUCACUUUAUAUUAAUAUGUGAAGGAAAGCUGUGGUGGUUUGGCUGGAUCUCCCUCUGGAGACCACAAAGCGUCAAACUGUUUUCACCUGCAGUCUUACUGAGUUUACUUGAAGAGCUCAGUGAACAAACUCAAACUUAUUGAGAAACACACACACACAUUCUCGUUUUCAUGUUUUGUUUGUGAGGACAUCUAAUUUACAUAAUGCUUUCCCUAGCUGCUAACCCUAACCAUCAGAUAUGAAUGUCUAAUCCUAACCCUCAGCCUGAACCAUAACUAUAACUAUAACCUAACUGUAACCCUGACUCUAAAACCACAUUUUGAUUCUCAAAAAUGCCUUCAGACUUGUGAGGACGGCCACUUUUGUCCUCAUAAGUCACUGUUGGUCCCCACAAGUUUAGUAAUGUUCCAAUUUUUGGUCCCCACAAAGCUGUCUAGACGGGUACACACACACAAAUACACAGCUUGUGAGCAGCAGGGGGCAGCAGACCCACAGUAGACACCCUGUGCUGCUGGUUACGUCAUACUGUUGUUUAUCGUCCUCUGUGUUGUCAUGUUAAAGUGUUGACGCUGACUUGUCUGGAUGGACUAAAUGCUCCAUGAAUCGCCCGGAUCAGCUGCAGGACAACUCUCCCUGUGUGCUGCCUGCUCCCAUCAGCCUGCAGCGCUCGCUCGCUUUCACAGAAAUCAGCUCCACUUUCGGCUUUUUCUCAAAUAGACUACCCGUCUACCCCCCUCCCUCGAGGGAGAUAACCGGGUAGUCCUCCAUGGAGGAUGCCACCACCACCACCAUCUGCUCCUGGAUCUUCCAAACAAACCGGCCUCAAUCAGCCCGACUCGGCCCACACCUCCCUGCAGAGCUGCGUUCUCUGCCCCCUCUGAGAUGAGACAGCGUACAGGGUGGAGGUAAACCAGGCCCAUUACAGGUGAGCCCUGGCAUCCCCGCCCACCGCCUGUUUGACCCGGUGCACCUCAGUCAGGUCCACACCUCCAGACUCACUAACAGCUUCAUCCCCUGGGCCAUCAGACUGCUAACAAACCCCACCCCUCUCCACCCACCCAC
ensembl:lncRNA